GACGAACGCUGGCGGCGUGCUUAACACAUGCAAGUCGAACGGAAAGGCCCUGCUUUUGUGGGGUGCUCGAGUGGCGAACGGGUGAGUAACACGUGAGUAACCUGCCCUUGACUUUGGGAUAACUUCAGGAAACUGGGGCUAAUACCGGAUAGGAGCUCCUGCUGCAUGGUGGGGGUUGGAAAGUUUCGGCGGUUGGGGAUGGACUCGCGGCUUAUCAGCUUGUUGGUGGGGUAGUGGCUUACCAAGGCUUUGACGGGUAGCCGGCCUGAGAGGGUGACCGGCAAAGUGGGGAAGGGGAAAGGGCCCAAACCCGUAGGGGGGGGAGGGGGGGGGAAAUUUGAAAAAGGGGGGGAAGCCUGAGGAGGAAACGCCGGGGGGGGGAUGACGGCCUUGGGGUGGAAAACCGCUUUCGCGGGGGAAGAAGGGGGGGGGGGGGGAAGGGGAAAAGAAGCACCGGCUAACAAGGG
rnacentral:rRNA from 1 species